rnacentral:rRNA from 1 species
GAUGAACGCUAGCGGCAGGCCUAAUACGUGCAAGUCGGACGGGAUCUAGGAGCUUGCUCCUGGUGAGAGUGGCGCACGGGUGCGUAACACGUAUGUAACCUACCUUUAUCAGGGGGAUAGCCUCUCGAAAGAGAGAUUAGCACCGCAUAACAUCACGAUGAAGCAUUUCAAUGUGAUCAAAUAUUUAUAGGAUAAAGAUGGGCAUGCGGGACAUUAGCUAGUUGGCGGGGUAACGGCCCACCAAGGCGACGAUGUCUAGGGGAUCUGAGAGGAUGACCCCCCACACUGGGACUGAGACACGGACCAGACUCCUACGGGAGGCAGCAGUAAGGAAUAUUGGUCAAUGGACGCAAGUCUGAACCAGCCAUGCCGCGUGCAGGAAGACGGCCCUACGGGUUGUAAACUGCUUUUGUACCGGAAUAAACCCUUUUACGAGUAGAAGGCUGAAUGUACGGUAAGAAUAAGGAUCGGCUAACUCCGUGCCAGCCGCCGCAGUAA